rnacentral:rRNA from 1 species
GAUGAACGCUGGCGGCGUGCCUAAUACAUGCAAGUCGAGCGAACAGACGAGGAGCUUGCUCCUCUGACGUUAGCGGCGGACGGGUGAGUAACACGUGGAUAACCUACCUAUAAGACUGGGAUAACUUCGGGAAACCGGAGCUAAUACCGGAAAAUAUAUUGAACCGCAUGGUUCAAUAGUGAAAGACGGUUUUGCUGUCACUUAUAGAUGGAUCCGCGCCGCAUUAGUUAGUUGGUAAGGUAACGGCUUACCAAGGCGACGAUGCGUAGCCGACCUGAGAGGGUGAUCGGCCACACUGGAACUGAGACACGGUCCAGACUCCUACGGGAGGCCGCAGUAGGGAAUCUUCCGCAAUGGGCGAAAGCCUGACGGAGCAACGCCGCGUGAGUGAUGAAGGUCUUCGGAUCGUAAAACUCUGUUAUUAGGGAAGAACAAAUGUGUAAGUAACUAUGCACGUCUUGACGGUACCUAAUCAGAAAGCCACGGCUAACUACGUG